rnacentral:rRNA from 1 species
CCUACGGGAGGCAGCAGUGGGGAAUAUUGCGCAAUGGGCGAAAGCCUGACGCAGCGACGCCGCGUGAGGGAUGAAGGUCUUCGGAUCGUAAACCUCUGUCAGCAGGGAAGAACGGUCACUGUGCUAAUCAGCAGUGAAUUGACGGUACCUGCAACGGAAGCACCGGCUAACUCCGUGCCAGCAGCCGCGGUAAUACGGAGGGUGCGAGCGUUAAUCGGAAUGACUGGGCUUAAAGCGCUCGUAGGCGGUAUGUCAAGUCAAGGGUGAAAUCCCCGGGCUCAACGUGGGAACUGCAUGUGAAACUGGCAAACUGGAGUGUGUGAGAGGAUAGUGGAAUUCCAGGUGUAGGAGUGAAAUCCGUAGAUAUCUGGAGGAACAUCAGUGGCGAAGGCGACUAUCUGGCACAUAACUGACGCUGAGGAGCGAAAGCGUGGGUAGCAAACAGGAUUAGAUACCCUGGUAGUC